rnacentral:snoRNA from 1 species
UUUUAUGAUGAUAACAUGAUAUUAGUGUCUUUAAGACCUUUUGGUCAGUGUGAGCACAUGAUUUCUCAAUAGACUACAACGGUAUCUGACA